CUUGUAGAACAACGUGACAACAAAGAUUAUGUUAAACCAAACAUGUUCUUCAUAAAGUGCCUAGGGAAGGCUAAGGAAAAAAAGUCACAGAGUACCAACUUAUCCAUUUACAAAAAUCAUAUUAAUGAAUUGUCUCGUCUAUCCAAGAUGAACCCACCCUCUCUCCCAGAGAAUAAGGGAAAAGAAAAAGGUUGCGCCUUCUGUGGAGAGGACGUAGAAGAGGAAUCUGACCUCGACAAAGAACACUGAGCCUCCUCCUCUUCCCAAGUAUCAAACAACUAUUGACGAGUCACUAAAAAGACCUAUCGAGGUGGACCCUAUCUCCUUCAUCAAAAUAGUGGAGGUAGAUAAGGAGGGGGGAGCUUCAUCAAAAUAAAAAUGGGCAAAGAAGCUAGCAAGAGUGGUUCUUCUGAAGGGAAAGUCCAAAAUUUCUCGAGAGGUAGGUUUGACGAGAUCGCCCAUUCUAUUUUGGAGAUGCUUCCCGUUAAGGUCUGGGUGGCCGCGAGAGUUCACCAUAAGUAUUGAAUUGAUAAAUAAUCUUCAUACACUAAGUCCUGUAGCUCGGUUGAUAUGCCGGAAGCUAACCUCAUUCUACAGGCUCGUUCAUAGGCUUCUUCUUAAACGCCCAGAUAGACAUUAGGAGGAUUUAGAGGCUAAAUAAAGAGUUAUGUCAAAAGGCUGAGAGCUGAACGUUGAAAGCUGAGGCCUCUCUGCUUAUGAGGUCAUUGAGACCUUCAAGGUGAGGCACAUUGAAGUUGAGUCAAGGAUUAGGCUUCUCAUGAUUGAAAAUUGAGGAAAUGAAGAAAGAGGUCCAUCUUUGCAAGAUUGAGGUGAAUGCCAUGAUGAAACAGGUCGAUAAUUCUAAGAACUUGCAAAAGAUAGCUUCGAUAGCCUUGGAAGUGACCAAUAAGAGACGGGGGAGCUAAAGGUCCAAAUUGAUGAGUUGAUUGCUAAGGUUGCCAGUUUGAGGCAACAACUAAGUGAGGGCAAGGGAGGCAGCCGCGAACAACUAUGUUGCCCAUUUCCACGAAACGACUGAGUAUGACGACCUCAAUUUGUACUCGAGGAAGGUCGCAUACAAUGAAGUCUUCGGAAUGAUGGCUAAGCUACAUCCCUAAGUAGACUUGGCUUGUGUGAAGGAGGAAUUCCUCCCAAUCGAGCAAUCCACUCCUAUAGAUGAUGCUGAAAGUUUGAUGGAGAGAGCUUGGAGCCUCAACGAGAUGAAGCUAUUACAUAAACUUAGGAUUUUAAUUUCAUUUCGUUUUAUUUUAUAUGUAGCUACCCCCUGUAUUUAGC
rnacentral:lncRNA from 1 species